GACGAACGCUGGCGGCGUGCUUAACACAUGCAAGUCGAACGGAAAGGCCCAGCUUGCUGGGUGCUCGAGUGGCGAACGGGUGAGUAACACGUGGGUGAUCUGCCUCUAACUUCGGGAUAAGCUUGGGAAACUGGGUCUAAUACCGGAUAGGACAAUCGUUUAGUGUCGGUUGUGGAAAGUUUUUUCGGUCAGGGAUGAGCCCGCGGCCUAUCAGCUUGUUGGUGGGGUAAUGGCCCACCAAGGCGUCGACGGGUAGCCGGCCUGAGAGGGUGGACGGCCACAUUGGGACUGAGAUACGGCCCAGACUCCUACGGGAGGCAGCAGUGGGGAAUAUUGCACAAUGGGCGCAAGCCUGAUGCAGCGACGCCGCGUGGGGGAUGACGGCCUUCGGGUUGUAAACCUCUUUCGACAGGGACGAAGCUUUGGUGACGGUACCUGUAUAAGAAGCACCGGCUAACUACGUG
rnacentral:rRNA from 1 species